rnacentral:lncRNA from 1 species
GCAAAUUAAACCCAUCUUUUUUCUUAUAUUACUAGGAUUGUACUAUAUCCUAUGGAAUUUGAAAACACUCAGUAUUUUCAUAUCUUAUUUGAUCUCGUGAAAAUGAAAAGAGUACUAAUAUCCAACUAGAGGCAAGUGGCAGAAUCCAGCUGAACAUACUUCACAAAUUCCACAAAAUUAAGGACUUUGCUAUUGGCCAAGAAAUGAUGCCUCAAAAUCAGCUCUAGGCAGAAAUCCUUUCUCUUCUCAAAACAAUAUUCUACCGAAGGCAAGUCUUAGUGUGGCGUUCCAGCACAGACACACACCAGAACGUACCAAGACACAUUGGAUCUCUGACUGGAACUUCGUUCAGAUGGAACAAAUGUAAAUGGUUGAAGAUAGAAAACUUAUUAUAGAUUUUACAUCCAGCCCAUGAGGAUUUUGACUGAUUCCAUUGAGCAGGCUCAGAAAUCUCAGACUAGAAACACACGACGUGAGCUAAAAGCAGUUCUGCAAUCUUCCUCAAGAAUGCUCAGACUGAUCCUCUUCCUUCACGCAGCUGAAAUGCCGCCACUUCCUAGGACCACACUAUCCAGUGGCACCAAUGACACGAUCUACGGAGCUGCAGUGGAAAGAACAGUGAGCCGGUUUUCCACGGGGUUUUCUCUUGUUUACAUUGAUGUAGAUCCAGAUCCAGCGCAGAAUAAUCUUAUUUAUUCAAUCCUAAGACUUUUCUUUUUUAACAUAUUAAUAUUUCUGGAAUCAGCUAAUACAUUAUGUCAAAUAAACUUGCUAGUCA